AGUGAACGCUGGCGGCAGGCCUAACACAUGCAAGUCGAGCGGCAGCGGGUCCCCGCGAGGGGAUGCCGGCGAGCGGCGGACGGGUGAGGAACACAUCGGAAUCUGCCUGGUUGUGGGGGAUAACGUAGGGAAACUUACGCUAAUACCGCAUGCGACCCUGAGUCGACGGACUGGGGGUGAAAGUGAGGGACCUUCGGGCCGUCACGCGACCAGAUGAGCCGAUGUCGGAUUAGCUAGUUGGCGGGGUAACGGCCCGCCGAAGGCGACGAUCCGUAGCUGGUCUGAGAGGAUGAUCAGCCACACUGGGACUGAGACACGGCCCAGACUCC
rnacentral:rRNA from 1 species